AGAACAAGCCAAGGUGGUUGCCUCUCAGGGGCAAAAAGAAUUACAACGUGAAUUCUUUUUUGAUAAGGCCUGAGGGGAGGAAAGUCCGAGCUCCAAAGGGUAAUGUAUCCUGGUAACGCAGGACGCUGCGACAAAACGUCGUGGAAGGAUUAGAGCUACAGUGACGAUACCCUGCACCACACAGGUGCCGGGGGUGAAACGAGCAAUCUCUGCAUGGAGCAAGGCCAAAUAGGGAGAGACUCAAAUAUGAUUUUGAGACGGGGUGACCCGCUCCGGUUGGAUCUCCGGGUAGGCUGCAAGAGUUUAGAACGUAAGUUCUAAAGUGAGUUGAAUAACCAUUGAUCUCGGUUGUGAAUAUCGAGGGAUACAAAACUCGGCUUAUUGGCUUGUUUUUUUC
rnacentral:RNase_P_RNA from 1 species